GGGCCUAAAAAAUUACUAUUGUAAAACCAUUCAAACGGGAAAACCAACGAUGGUUUGUAUGGUAAUUUAACACAUUUCCUAAUUGUUGUGGUUAACUUAUUUUAAUGAUGAGCAAGUUAUCUCCCUUAAAACAUAGAAAUGCUAAAUAUUAAACAAAUAAAUGGAGAACGUGUCCCUCCAUUCCCCUCCCCCUAAUUAAAAGUAAAAAUGAAAUAGUUCACUUUAAACUUUGGAUUUGAAGUUAAUUUAAGAGUAGAAUCUAUUUUAAAUUCUA
rnacentral:lncRNA from 1 species